CUGAACCAGCCAAGUAGCGUGAAGGAUGACUGCCCUAUGGGUUGUAAACUUCUUUUAUACGGGAAUAAAGUGAGACACGUGUGCCUUUUUGUAUGUACCGUAUGAAUAAGGAUCGGCUAACUCCGUGCCAGCAGCCGCGGUAAUACGGAGGAUCCGAGCGUUAUCCGGAUUUAUUGGGUUUAAAGGGAGCGUAGGCGGACGCUUAAGUCAGUUGUGAAAGUUUGCGG
rnacentral:rRNA from 1 species